rnacentral:rRNA from 1 species
AUACGAAAGGUGCAAGCGUUGUUCGGAUUUACUGGGCGUAAAGAGAGUGUAGGUGGUUUAUUAAGUCGGAUGUGAAAUCCCGGGGCUCAACCUCGGAACUGCAUUCGAUACUGAUAGGCUAGAGUUUGGGAGGGGUAAGCGGAAUUCCGUGUGUAGCAGUGAAAUGCGUAGAUAUACGGAGGAACACCUGAGGCGAAGGCGGCUUACUGGACCAAUACUGACACUGAGACUCGAAAGCGUGGGUAGCAAACAGGAUUAGAAACACUAGUAGUCC